ensembl:lncRNA
AGACAAUGUUGUACUUCCACCUCCAGACAAACUCUGAAAUAUUAUCUUCUGGCUUUCAUUGUGUGAAAAUCCCCCAACUAAAUCUACCCAUAUUCUAAAAGAUUAUAUCAUUGAGAUUUGGCAUGGUCUCGAAAACUUCCCUCCAGCCAGCUUGCCACUCCAGAUGGCAUUGCCUUUCUGAACAAGCUGAAUCCUCUGGUCAUGAAGAAAUACGUUGCCAUUCUUAGAAGUUACAGAGGAAAGAUAGUUUGGAGAAUCAGACAAAUCUCACCUUGAAUCAUGUCCUGCAACUCACUAAUUGUAUAACUACAUGAGCUAUUUAUGCUGUUGAGCUCAGGUCUUUCAUCUCUGAAAGGAGGGUGAAAAAAUGAACCUCAAUUUUGAAUGAUGUGAAACUGUAUGAAGUUUCAACCAAUGUUGAACUAAAAAAUUGCAAGUCACCUACUAAGUUCUGGGCAUUAAAUGUGAUAAAUUAGAGAGAGAGAGAAUCUAGACUCUGGAACACAUAGCAAGUAUUAAUUCCUUCCCUCUCCAUUCCUCACCUUUCUCCCUAAGUCCUUAUCCCCAAGCAGUAAUAUAUCACUCAAUAUCAACAAGCCACAUUGCUUUGUAUGUUAAAAUGGGCAUGCGGAAGAGAACAAGGCACAACAGUACUGAGGAGGAAAAGUCUCCCUGAUGGAAAACUGGACAUCUGAGUCCAAAG